AUUUAAAAUCUAAAAUUUCCAUGAUAUUCAGGCAUUGUAGAAUUAUGCUCCAUGCCACUAAAACUUUAUUGACAAAGACAAGAAGUGGGCCAGAGUUGGAGAGCCCAUUAGUUUGAACCCAGGCAGUCGUUAAAAAGGUUAUCUACAUCCUAGAGUUUUAAACAAUGGGUCUGGCUAAACUCUCAGGGGCAAGACUAGGAGUCGGGCCCUUAGAGUAGGGAGCAGAAUUUCACCUCUCCUCAAUAAGCAUUGGGACCAGUAUUGCUCCCAUUCCCAAAUGGCCAGGCUGGCGGGUCUCAAUAUGUGCUCCACAGAGAGAUAACAUAGGCAUUUUGCCAGAAAAAUGUUUUCUGGACUAGCCUUGGAUUCAGUAGUAGAACUCUUUCUAUGACUGCAGGACUUCUCCGGACUUUUAAUGUCCUGAGGAACAUUCUUAAUCUUGUCUUUCAAACUAAUUGGACAUUUAUGUAUAAUCCUUAGCUGUGCAGAGAGCGGGGGGGUGGGAGGUGUGUGGAGGGUUGUGCAGGGGAAGGUGUGACUUCAGGUUUGAACUGAUUUCCAUUUCAACAGCUGGGUGAGCUGGCUGAAGCCGUCAGAUUUAUUGAGCUGUUGCUAUUGUCCCGUUUUGUUUUGCUGUUGUUGUCUCAAUGGCCUUCUGAGUUUCCUAGUAGUGAUUACGAAGAAAACUCCUAAACUGAAUCAAAACAUCAGUGAAAAAGCAAAAACAAAGAACCGAAUCCCCACCAGCACAAUUCAGACCCUCUUGGCUAGGGUUGGUUUUCCACAGGCUGUGUUUAUUUCAAAAUGCACCUGCUUCCUUUUUUUCUCUCUCAUUUCCCAAGUGCCACUGAGAAUCCCUCCUUCUUGUCCAGGGACCCAAAAAGACCCCGUGGGGCAGGACCCACACUGGUCUUGGGCAGCACAUUCCCAGCAGAGCCUCCAGCCCUGUGGCCCCCUGCCCUCAUUCCAGGAUGAAGGACCCUUCCUGUCUUCCCCUCCACUCAGUGACAACUGAAGGAAUUCUGUGUGGUGAGAAUAUGACCAUGGGACACCUUAGAUGUCAAGCCUGUCCAUUUGGAUCUGUGGAUUGGAUUUUCUCUCCUCUCAUAUGAGCUCUUCAAAUAAAAGGAUUUGAGAAGCUGAAUGCUUUGGACAUGUAUUGUAGAGAUACAGAAAUGUAUGUGGACUCUGAAGCUGGACCACCAGUGUAACCCUAGCUCCAACAGGUCACUGGGCUUCUCAGGAGGGACCCUUGCCGGAGCCACUGACGUUGCCCGCUGUCCUGCAGUGCCUCCGAUUCUGUGGGCUGCACCCUGCCUGGGAAGACUCCCUCUCCCCCGCCACAGCUUGGGAGAGCUCUCUGUGGCUUCUGUGGGUGAUUGCCAGGUGACUGUGUGCCUCCCUACCCACCCUGGCCCUGAGCUCCUCGUUUGAAAAGUGGAGAAAGAGAGGGUUCACCGGCAUCUUCUUCAGAGUUCUUUUUAUUACCCAGAAUCUGUGUCGCUAAACAUAGUUUAAAUAGUAUUUAUGGCUAUACAUGUGCAGUGGUGAUCUCAUGGCCGUAGCAGGAGCAGGCGUGUGAGUAAAUGAGAGCCUGUCCAGCCUCAUGGAGCUCAUAUUUAGUAGAAGGGGUACAUUCUAGGAAAGGCUCUGUGGACCUGUCCCUCUCCUACAUCACACCUGGUGGAGCUUCCCUCGCCCCCAGUGACAGGUGCCCUAUGAGCCCUGUGAGUGGUCGGUGUCAAGGCGUCCCCUGAGCUAACUGCAAGGGAGGCCAAGGAUGCUCCCAGCCUCCAACCAGCUGCCACGUUUGGAGAGCUGCGCGCGAAGUCCCCAGAGAAGACUACUCUGUCCAAAAAACUGGAAACAAGGAUGCAGUACAGCUAUUUUCAUUUUGAUAGGGGGAAAAAAAAAAGUUGCUCAAAAGCCCUUUAUUGUUUUUGGAAUGGACCUGGCUUGGCCCUGUCUUAAGGCAAAGCUUACUUCCUGUCUUCGAUCUUCAGCAUCAUACUGACGAUACUGACGAUGACGAUGGAACCAAAAAAAGGAACAGCAACGAGAGUUGUCUCCUUGCAAAUCUCAAAUGAUGUGUGCAGAUACCUGAGGCUCACCACUGUCUCAAGAGUGGUCCUUGGGGAUCCCCACAGCUACAGGCAGGUCCGUGUCUGUAUCUCUAGAAAUGCAGGACUAGCCACCACUGUCAUGGAUUGGAGAAAGGGUAGAGGGUGUCAGCAUCAGAACCAGACGUCACCACAAAGUUCACAGAACUUGGACAGGAGCAUGGCAAGGCUUACACAUUCAUGACCUCUGCAGAGAGACCAUCCCUAUGGGGACAGGCAAUCAAACCUUGCUGCUUCUCUUUGGUGGUAAAACCCUGAGGGUUCCCCCACUUCUUUUUUCUUCCAGCCCCCAUUUUGUAAACAUCUGGUUGCUCCUUUGAGCUACGCAGGAAUCUGAUGAACAGGAUUGCUCUCUCCCUGCUCUGCUCUGUCCUGGGGCUCAGUCAUUGUGCACCCCUGGACUGCUUUGGAGGAUGAUUCUCCCCCGCCUGCCCCAUUUUCAAUACCCAAGCUUUUCCUAUAAUUUUUAUAAUUUUCUUCCUUACAAACUGUGCUUUCCCAAAGACUGGGAAAUAAAAACAUCAGGAAGAGAAAUAUGUAAGGUUAGGUAGAAGGAUGAUGGUCAGUGUUAAUCUUUCUGUGUUCUGUAUUUCUAAAAUUUCUAUAAUGAACAUCUUUUGUGUGUAUAAUAGGGAAAAUGGUCUGAUUAAAGGGAGUGGGGAGAUGUUGAGGUUGAAUAUUCUGAUCCAAUGUUGGUUAAGGAUCUGACUUCCCAAAGGUUUGUUAAAAGCCCUCUCUCCCUCCCUGGGGUAACAACCCAGUCCCCCCAGGUCAUGGGAUUAUCUUGUCUGGAGCUCCAGAUCUCUGUGGCUCCGACACUGACAGGGCUCUCCUGCUUCGGAGACUUGGCAUUUCUCUAGCUCCCCGGAAAGCUGCUGUGUUCCUUGGGGGUCCACGCCCCUGUCCAGCCCACGCCCACGUUCACAGCCUCCUACUGAGUCCAGCCACUUUGCCGCACAGGGCCCAUGGUGCCUGCCCCUCUAGGCUUCAGAGACGACAGCCCCAGAGUGGACGGCAUGCCUCACCUAAGGCAGCCAGGAUGGUUUCUACUGGGCACUUUUUCCGUGUGGUGUGUUUUUCUUUCUUUGGGAGCUCAUAAAAUUCCCCCGCCUGAACUGGGCCUCUUGGUCUUUAAUCUCUAGCCUCUCCUGGAGCUGUCCCUAUUUCUUUUUAAUUGUGCCUCCUUCUUUUAUGGAAGUUUCCUAUUGAAUUUUUAUGACAAUAUAGAGACGUGGGUAGACUCCAACAAAAAUGAAAUCUUUAUGGAAUAGUCAUUUCUCUCCCGGAGCGUCCUGACAAAUGUUCCUCUGUGGAUAUAUAUGUACAUAUCUGUGUAUUGACAGGGAGUGGGGGCAGCCCCUCUCGUCUUGGCUGGGGCUCAGCAGGCUGAGUGGCGGGCCGCUGAGCUGUUAUUAUUGCUGUGUUAGGACCGCUGGGGGAGUGGUGUGCAGCACGGCGGUGGGGGGUGCGGCGGGGGGUGGGGUGCAGUGUGAGAUAUGGACGAGGAGAUGUAAAUCUUCCUCAGGUACAAUCCCUUUGCCUUGGUGUCAGCCGAAUUAGCACCACUCCGUAAUCCCAAGCAAUUUGCCUACGUGACUGCCCCUGCGUGGGAAGGGGGGGGGCCCACUCACUUAGUUACCCCUUUUCCAGCACCUUGGCUCCCCAGCCUGGGCUAAGAAGCCUCUGUUCUUGGGCCCCAGGCCAUGUAUGACUGUCUGAGGUCACUGGCACGCUUCUCUUGGGUGAGCUUCACCAAGUGUGGUCUGGGGAUGGCUUGGGAUCCACAAAUGGCUCUCCAGAGGCCAGGAGCUAGGGUUGCCUUGGCCAGGCAUGAGUACUUGUGCCGGGAUAGGAAGGAACAAUUAUCCAUUUACAAAGAAGUAUUGGGAACCGCCCUCACUAAAUGUCUGGCCCAGAUCUGGGCACCAGGGUUUUCAAAGUCACGGUCCCUUGUCCUGUUCUGCUGAUGUUCUUCAAAAAGGAAACAGGCAAAAACCAAAUAAACACAUAAAUGAACGUGAUGAUUUUGGAUUGUGGCAUUUGCCUCAGAGCAAACGGGGGCAGGGGGAGGGCUGCUGAGGGAGAGAAAGUCCCUCCACCGUAGACUAUGGUCAGUGAAGGUGCCUGCUAAGACAAUACUGGAGACAGGGCAAGAAGAUGGGAGGCCAGCAUGCUCAGAUCAGGGAAGAGCAUUCCAGACAGAGAAACCAGCAAGUGCAAAAGCCCUGAGGCCAAACGCACUCCAGUUGUUGAGAAACAGAAUGAAGGUCAGUGUGGCUGAGUGGUGUGAGCCAGUGGAGGAGCAAAAAGAGAUAAGGCUGGAACAGGUUUGGGGGCUUCGUAAGCCUCCCUAAACUAAGAGCUCUUGGUUCGAGUGCAACGUGAACACUGAUUGCAGUUGGGUCUGACAGGAACUGAUAUUCAUUUUAAAGACACCAUUUUGACUUCUGUGCAGAGAAAUGGACUAUAGAAUUUUAUAAAAACCAAGGUGCCAAGGGUUCAGAACCUCAGAAAGGCAGAACCAUGCUUCAACUCUCCAGGGGAUUUAGGAGAAGGGACAAAGUGGGAGCGUUGUUUCUUCAGGUUGUUGGCUCAAGAGCUGUUGCCUGAAGCCGCAGGGCCUCCUACAUAACUUUUUCCCGGCCUGAGUUGUAAGGAGAACUGAGAAAUGAUAGCUGUGCUCCCCUCCCUGCAGAGAAUCAGCUUUCGGGCAAGAGCAAAGCAGUGUGGAUCUUACAUGUGAAUUUUGUUAAGGAGUAGAGUCUUCUAUGUGAGUGUGCCAGGAGGAACAGUCAUAAACAUCCUAAUAAGGAAAGAAAUGAACAUAUUUUAGUGCCCAGCAUGUGGCAGUCUCUGCCCCAUGUGUUAGGUCCUCUAACUGCCACAGAUACCCUGAAAAGUACUGCUAAAUGUGAGAUCUGAACCAGAGAGGUUAAGUAACUUACUCAACAUCACACAGCUAAGAGGCGAACUGGAGUUUGAAGUCAGGGCUGCCUGAUUCAAGUGCCCUUAUUUCUGUCUUUCACUCUGAUGACCUUGGACAAUAUCCACGUGCUGAGGAGUCAUUGGUCUCCCUCUGACAGAAGCUGUCAUGGUUUCUUAGAGACACUGGGGACCAUGGCAAGGUGAGGCUGGGGCACCCUCAGGAGAACUUGGUGCCUUCAGGAUUCCUCUCAGGCCCUUCUAGCCAUUGGCCCAUGAGUGCAGGGCCUGCCCGAGGCCUGAAGCUUUAAAAACAAACAAACAAACAAAAACAAAAAAACCUUGACUUUGA